UGCGGCAGUUUAUCUCAGUACGGCCAAGUAAUUUUGGAACAUGCAAAAAGUGCCAUGAGAGCUGGACAACAUUUGUGUUCAUCCAUUAUAAAUUCGUCCAGCUUGUUUAGAAGUAAAAUUCCUUUUUUCCUUCCGAGGGAAACAAGAUACAACCAAUUUGACAAAAGUUGUAUGUUGGCACGUAACACAGAGGCCCAAACAGAGCAAAAGAAGCCAAACCAGAUUCUAGAGGUAGCUAAAGUAGUGUGGUACAAGCAUGCAGUUCCUAGGUGGGCUAUUGUGCAAUGGUUGGCUAUCCUGUGUAGACUUUCCACAAGGGAUAGGUUGCAGCAGUGGGGUGUUUUGGUGGAAAACCAAUGUGUGUUUUGUGGAGAUUGUUGCAGAUGAAGUUUAGUUCCUUUUGCAGCCUAUCUGUUCUUUCACAGGUGGUAGAUUGGAUGGUUCAACACCAUACUGGCACUCUUUUCUUGAAUCUCUUUUCUUUUCUUGAAUCUGGUGGCUAAAGUGGUUUUUGCUGCUACGAUUUAUCAUGUUUGGGGGGAGCAUAACAGAUGUAUUUUCCAACAGCAUAGAGGCUUGGAUGUGAGGGGUUUGGAAGCUCAGAUUUGCACAGAGGUUAGAGCCUGUAUCAGUUCUUGGAGAGGAGUGACGAGAAUAGGAGUAAAUCUGGCCCUCUGCUCUCGUUGGCGCUUCUCUAGUCGUAUUUUUUACUCUAGGUAUUAGCGAGUAGCUUGUAUAGUUGCUGGUUUUGGGUUAGUUGUCUUUUCUGUUGAUUGUUGGUAGAGUGCUCUGCUGAGCAAUUUUUGGCUUGGUUCACUGGGGAAUGCCCCUUUGAUUUUGUAUCCCGUUUGUUGUGAAUAAAAACUUUAAUUACCCAAAAAAAGAAGAAGAAGCCAAAUAUGUGUCAGCUUAGAAGCACGGAUACACCAACAAGCCUCACUUGUGUGUGCCAGCUUAGUGACUCUUCAUAAUGUUUAUCUUAGUUACAUUUUCACCCCAGUUUGACAAAAAUAAUUUUGUACUUAACAGAUAACGUCGUAACGAAUCUCCAACGUGUCCACGUCCCCUUUUUUUUUUUUU